UCCUGCCGGUNANACCAGUAGGGAUGACGGUACCCAAAGAAUAAGCACCGGCUAACUUCGUGCCAGUAGCCGCGGUAAUACGAAGGGUGCAAGCGUUACUCGGAAUUACUGGGCGUAAAGCGUGCGUAGGUGGUUGUUUAAGUCUGUUGUGAAAGCCCUGGGCUCAACCUGGGAAUUGCAAUGGAUACUGGGCGACUAGAGUGUGGUAGAGGACAGUGGAAUUUCCGGUGUAGCAGUGAAAUGCGUAGAGAUCGGAAGGAACAUCUGUGGCGAAGGCGACUGUCUGGGCCAACACUGACACUGAGGCACGAAAGCGUGGGGAGCAAACAGGAUUAGAUACCCUGGUAGUCC
rnacentral:rRNA from 1 species